GUGACUCAUCGAUUUCCUGUUCGCAGAAUUCCUCUGGUACCUGUGUUCUCUUUUGGCGAGACGGACAUAUAUGAUCAGGUGUACGGCACCGAAGGCUCGACCUUGAAGAAGGUGCAACAUUUCAUUCGUAAGAAGAUCGGGAUCGCACCGAUCAUCUUGAGGGGUCGAGGAUUCUUUCAGUACUCGUUUGGGAUCAUUGCUCAACGAAGACCCAUCACCGUCGUUGUUGGCAGUCCCAUAGAGCUACCAAAAAUUCCUGAACCAACAACGGAGCAGAUCGACGAGUAUCACGAAAUAUUCAUCAAACGUCUGGUUGAACUUUUCGAGAGCAACAAGCACAAAUACGUGGAGAAUCCGGAAUCAGUGACCCUCGAGCUGUUGUAAUACGUAUCGUUUUAUCCGAAUGAACGACAGCGGACGUCCGAGAUCCACGAGAUCGUUAAAAACUUGAAAGACCUUCUUGUCACGUAUCUGGUGGUUGUAUAAAAAAGUGGCGCGAGUGAUAACAACCGUACUUUCCUGGAACUCAUUUUUUUCUUAGUGAAUUUUCCUAAGGUAUUUUAAUAGAAAAUAUUGAAAUUAAUAGCGUUAAGAUGUUGAAUAGUAAUUACAUUUUAAUUGAAUUGUUAAAGAGUUUUGUUCGAUGUGAGGGCCUGAAACAAGACUUGCUCGAACGCAGUCAUAAAUCUUGUUGGAGCUUGGAGACGUUAUGCAUUUAAACAAAGAAAAGACAGAGGAAAUCGAGUCGGUUAGAUCGAAAAAUGUUUUUUAAUAGGAUGAACGUUGUAUACAGUUUUCGUUUAAAAACAUGAUUAAAUCAGAACGCGUGUAGCGAAGUAUACCUCGAUGAUCGGAACCAGUAAUAUUGCGAGAAUCAAGAUAAACGUGAACAUAACGAUCACACGUAAAAUCUGCAAAAGAAUACUGGUUUUAUUAUACAUAUGUUUGUUAUUUCUA